rnacentral:rRNA from 1 species
AUGAUUAAAGAUAGCUUGCUAUUUUUAUGAAGAGCGGCGAACGGGUGAGUAACGCGUGGGAAAUCUGCCGAGUAGCGGGGGACAACGUUUGGAAACGAACGCUAAUACCGCAUAACAAUGAGAAUCGCAUGAUUCUUAUUUAAAAGAAGCAAUUGCUUCACUACUUGAUGAUCCCGCGUUGUAUUAGCUAGUUGGUAGUGUAAAGGACUACCAAGGCGAUGAUACAUAGCCGACCUGAGAGGGUGAUCGGCCACACUGGGACUGAGACACGGCCCAGACUCCUACGGGAGGCAGCAGUAGGGAAUCUUCGGCAAUGGGGGCAACCCUGACCGAGCAACGCCGCGUGAGUGAAGAAGGUUUUCGGAUCGUAAAACUCUGUUGUUAGAGAAGAACGU